CCCACGGCUCGACGUCCCCAAUGUCCCCAAGGGAUGUGGGACGGUGCCACACCGCGUGUCCCCGAUGUCACCCACACCAAGGACUGAAAACCAUCGGGAAACCCGUGUCCCCUGUUGUCCCCUUUUGUCCCCAACGCAAUAAAUGGAGACCCAACACGACUGCGUGUCCUCGAUGUCACAUCUGUCCCCAACGUCCCUGAUGUCCCCAACGCCACGAAUGGAGACCCAACACGACCCCAUGACCCCAGUGUCCCCAAUGUCCCCAGUGCCCUCGAUGUCCCCAAUGCAAUGGAUGGAGAUCCAACUUGACCCCAUGUCCCCAAAGUCCCCAGUGUCCCCAAACCAAUGGAUGGAGACCCACCACGACCCCAUGUCCCCAAUGUCCCCAAUGUCCCCAAACCAAUGGAUGGAGAUCCAACCUGACCCCAUGUCCCCAAUGUCCCCAUGUCCCCAGUCCAAUGGAUGGAGAUCCAACCUCACCCCAUGUCCCCAAUGUCCCCAGUGUCCUCAAACCAAUGGAUGGAGAUCCAACCUGACGCCAUGUCCCUAAUGUCCCCACUGUCCCCAAACCAAUGAAUGGAGACCCAAAAUGACCCCAUGUCCCCAAAGUCCCCAAUGUCCCCAAACCAAUGGAUGGAGAUCCAACCUCACCCCAUGUCCCCAAUGUCCCCAGUGCCCUCAGUGUCCCCAAACCAAUGGAUGGAGAUCCAACAUGACCCCAUGUCCCCAAAGUCCCCAGUGUCCCCAAUCCAAUGGGUGGAGACCCAACGUGACCCCACGGGAUCCAGUUGGCCAACGACAACGAGAUCCAGUUGGCCAACGUCAAUGGCACGAAUUUUAAUGGGAGCCACUUGGGCAACAACAAUGGAACCCAGUUGGCCAACGUCAAGGAGACCAACACCAAUGGGAUCCAGUAGGCCACACUCAAUGGGACCAGAACCAAUUGGACUCACAUGGCCAAUGCUGAUGGGACCAGUAGCCAUGGGACCCAGUAGGCCACACUCAAUAAGACCAGUGCCAGUGGGAUCCUGUUGGCCAACGUCAACCUGACCAACACCUAUGGGACCCAGUAGGCCAACAUCAAUGGGACCAGAACCAAUGGGACCCACAUGGCCAAUGCUGAUGGGACCAGGAGCAAUGGGACCCAGUAGGCCACAGUCAAUGGGACCAGUGCCAAUGGGACCCAGUUGGCCAACACCAAUGGGACCAACGCCAACGGGACCCACACGACCAACGUCAAUGGGACCAGUAGGCCACACUCAAUGGGACCAACGUCAAUGGGACCCAGUUGGCCAACAUCAAUGGGACCAACGUCAAUGGGACCAACACUGAUGAGACCCGGGCCAAUGCCAACGGACCCCACAGCCCAGGACUCAGCACCCCACGCUGUCAGCAUCGUCGUGGUGAGUUGGGGUAGCGCUGGCGCAGCUCGGCGCGGAAGCGGCGGUAGAGCUGCCGGUUGUGGGUCAGCUCGGCCUCCUUCGCCCCAUGGAAGCCUCCUGCCUCCUUGAAGCCACGGUGGACCACGAAGGCGCCGUCCAGCACCACAAAGCGGAACCCGGCCAUGUGCAGCUCGCACGCCUGGGGGGGGUGAAGUGUCAGCCCACGGCACCCGCUGCGACCCACAGAACCCUACAGCACCCUGAGGUCUCCCCGUGGCACCCAUGGGUCCCCCACGGCCGCCCCGUAGCAUCUACAGGACCCUAAAGCUAUCAUAACCCCAGUGUUUGAUCCAUAGUCCCCACAGCCAUCCCAUAACCACAGCAGUCAGCCCACCGCCCCACAGCCAUCCCAUAGCCCCAGUGAUGACCCCAUAGUCCCAGUGGCCAACCCACCACCCCGUAGCAACCCCAUAGUCACCCCAUAGCCCUAGUGGCCAACCCCCCACUCCAUGGCCAUCCCAUAGCCACCCCAUAGCUCCAGUGGCCAUCCCAUAGCACCAGACAUCACCCCACAGCCCUUACAACCACCCCACAGCCCCUAUAUCCAACCCACAGCCUUCUCAGCCACCCCAUAGCCCCAGUGACCACCCCACAGCCCCUACAGCCACCCCAUUGCUCC
ensembl:lncRNA